rnacentral:rRNA from 1 species
CCUACGGGACGCAGCAGUGGGGAAUAUUGGGCAAUGGGCGCAAGCCUGACCCAGCAACGCCGCGUGAAGGAAGAAGGCUUUCGGGUUGUAAACUUCUUUUCUGAGGGACGAUAGUGACGGUACCUCAGGAAUAAGCCACGGCUAACUACGUGCCAGCAGCCGCGGUAAUACGUAGGUGGCAAGCGUUAUCCGGAUUUAAUGGGUGUAAAGGGCGGGUAGGCGGGAUGGUAAGGCAGAUGUGAAAACUAUGGGCUCAAACCAUAGCAUGCCAUUGAAACUAUCGUUCUUGAGUGUUGG